rnacentral:rRNA from 1 species
UACGAAGGGGGCUAGCGUUGUUCGGAAUUACUGGGCGUAAAGCGUACGUAGGCGGAUUGUUAAGUGAGGGGUGAAAUCCCGAGGCUCAACCUCGGAACUGCCUUUCAUACUGGCAAUCUUGAGUCCGGGAGAGGUGAGUGGAACUCCUAGUGUAGAGAUGAAAUUCGUAGAUAUUAGGAAGAACACCAGCGGCGAAGGCGGCAUCCUGGACUGGUCCUGACACUCAGGAGCGAAAGCGUGGGAGCGAUCCGG